ACGUGUUUUAUCACGAUCUAACAACUCUUUUGGGAUUUGGAGUUUUGAUGAGUCGCCACCUAAUGAAUUAAGGUGCGUUAGGGAACCUAUAUAACCUAACUAAGUCUAACUAAGGUCAACGAACCAGAGAUCAGGGUAAGAGUUCAAAUUACCUCGAGGAGAAGGUGUUAGGCAUUAAUAUACCGUGGUUUCACGGUAUUUUUAAUGCUCUUUCCUUAAGUUUAGUGUGUGUCCAAAAGCCUUUUUAUAUUGAUUUUUAUGUAAGUUUUUCUUUAUUUA
rnacentral:misc_RNA from 1 species